UUGGCUAGUUAUAUCCAAAAAUAAUUUUAUUCCACCGAGAUUAAAGGAGUAUAUCAUAUAAAAUUAUCUUACUGACAAUCAAUCACAGCUUAAAAAUAAAAAUGGAAAUCAUGUAAUUGUUUGAUGUUUUGAUAAGUUGCUAUCAAUUAUCGAUGUAAAACAACUUUACUGAGUGCAUAGUCUUUAAUCUCUAUUCCAUUUUCUUGAGAGCCAUCCUCUCAACCGAUGCAGAUGAGAUUCCCCUUCACUUUUCAAGAGAAAUAAAGAGCUCAUUUAUUUUACUUUUAGAUACAUAAAAACUUCAUUAAUGUCACCAAGUCUAAAAUUAUGUACUUCAUACAUUAAAAAGCAUAAUAGUAAAACUCUAAUUAUUAUUAUAUUUAUUGGGCACUUGGAUGAAGAGAGGGGAUACCAAACUUGCUGCUACUGCAUAUUUUGUUCUGGUGCUUAUGCCUUUUCUUGGACUGUGGGAGUAUGUUUCUGUCAUGUUCUUCUCUUCUGCUGCUGGAUGAUGUUAAGGUCACAGAUGAGAUAUGAAACAUGAUUUGUGAAAGAUACUUAAACCAAAUCCACAACCAGUCAAUGCCAAUCAUAUUCAUCAUUCUACAUAUGACAUAGUUAUCAUCAACCUCAGGUAAAGCAUCUCUAUUUUAUAAUGAAAUAUUCAUGAAAGAAAACACAAUUUACAUUGAGAAAAGGAUACAAGGUUGCUUCUUCUUUAAGUUCAUUGUGGUGAGAAACAAGCUGUUAUCGAAUUAAACUUUACAUCAUAUUGAAAAUUAAGCCUACUAUAGAAAAA